rnacentral:rRNA from 1 species
UACGUAGGUGGCAAGCGUUGUCCGGAUUUACUGGGCGUAAAGGAUGCGUAGGCGGAUACUUAAGUCAGAUGUGAAAAUCCCGGGCUUAACUUGGGAACUGCAUUUGAAACUGGGUAUCUAGAGUGCGGGAGAGGAAAGUGGAAUUCCUAGUGUAGCGGUGAAAUGCGUAGAGAUUAGGAAGAACACCAGUGGCGAAGGCGACUUUCUGGACCAUAACUGACGCUGAGGCAUGAAAGCGUGGGGAGCAAACAGGAUUAGAAACCCCUGUAGUCC